UACGGAGGGUGCGAGCGUUAAUCGGAAUUACUGGGCGUAAAGGGUGCGUAGGUUGUUUGUUAAGUUGGAUGUGAAAUCCCCGGGCUUAACCUGGGAAUGGCAUUUGAUACUGACGAGCUAGAGUCGAGUAGAGGGAAGUGGAAUUUCCGGUGUAGCGGUGAAAUGCGUAGAUAUCGGAAGGAACACCGGUGGCGAAGGCGGCUUCCUGGACUUAGACUGACACUGAGGCACGAAAGCGUGGGUAGCAAACAGG
rnacentral:rRNA from 1 species